UACGUAGGGUGCAAGCGUUGUCCGGAAUUACUGGGCGUAAAGCGCGCGUAGGCGGCUUUGUAAGUUAGAGGUGAAAGCCCGGAGCUCAACUCCGGAAUUGCCUUUAAGACUGCAUCGCUAGAAUCAUGGAGAGGUGAGUGGAAUUCCGAGUGUAGAGGUGAAAUUCGUAGAUAUUCGGAAGAACACCAGUGGCGAAGGCGGCUCACUGGUCCGGUACUGACGCUGAGGUGCGAAAGCGUGGGGAGCAAACAGG
rnacentral:rRNA from 1 species